rnacentral:tRNA from 1 species
GGAGGGAUGCCGGAGUGGUUGAUCGGAGCGGUCUUGAAAACCGCAAGGGCCGCCAAGCCCUCGGGGGUUCGAAUCCCUCUCCCUCCGCCA